rnacentral:tRNA from 1 species
UGGUGGUUCAAUGGUAGAAUUCUCGCCUUUCAUGUGGGAGGCCUAGGUUCGAUUCCUCCUGGCCA